rnacentral:rRNA from 1 species
AUUGAACGCUGGCGGCAGGCCUAACACAUGCAAGUCGAACGGUAGCACAGAGGAGCUUGCUCCUUGGGUGACGAGUGGCGGACGGGUGAGUAAUGUCUGGGAAACUGCCCGAUGGAGGGGGAUAACUACUGGAAACGGUAGCUAAUACCGCAUAACGUCGCAAGACCAAAGAGGGGGACCUUCGGGCCUCUUGCCAUCGGAUGUGCCCAGAUGGGAUUAGCUAGUAGGUGGGGUAACGGCUCACCUAGGCGACGAUCCCUAGCUGGUCUGAGAGGAUGACCAGCCACACUGGAACUGAGACGCGGUCCAGACUCCUACGGGAGGCAGCAGUGGGGAAUAUUGCACAAUGGGCGCAAGCCUGAUGCAGCCAUGCCGCGUGUAUGAAGAAGGCCUUCGGGUUGUAAAGUACUUUCAGCGAGGAGGAAGGUGUUGUGGUUAAUAACCGCAGCAAUUGACGUUACUCGCAGAAGAAGCACCGGCUAACUCCGUGCCAGCAGCCGCGGUAAUACGGAGGGUGCAAGCGUUAAUCGGAAUUACUGGGCGUAAAGCGCACGCAGGCGGUCUGUCAAGUCGGAUGUGAAAUCCCCGGGCUCAACCUGGGAACUGCAUCCGAAACUGGCAGGCUAGAGUCUUGUAGAGGGGGGUAGAAUUCCAGGUGUAGCGGUGAAAUGCGUAGAGAUCUGGAGGAAUACCGGUGGCGAAGGCGGCCCCCUGGACAAAGACUGACGCUCAGGUGCGAAAGCGUGGGGAGCACACAAAAGUAAAUACCCUGGUAGUCCACACCAUAAAGGGCCUCAGUAGGAGGUUGUGCCCUUGAGGCGUGGCUUCCGGAGCUAACGCGUUAAGUCGACCGCCUGGGGAGUACGGCCGCAAGGUUAAAACUCAAAUGAAUUGACGGGGGCCCGCACAAGCGGUGGAGCAUGUGGUUUAAUUCGAUGCAACGCGAAGAACCUUACCUACUCUUGACAUCCAGAGAACUUAGCAGAGAUGCUUUGGUGCCUUCGGGAACUCUGAGACAGGUGCUGCAUGGCUGUCGUCAGCUCGUGUUGUGAAAUGUUGGGUUAAGUCCCGCAACGAGCGCAACCCUUAUCCUUUGUUGCCAGCGGUUCGGCCGGGAACUCAAAGGAGACUGCCAGUGAUAAACUGGAGGAAGGUGGGGAUGACGUCAAGUCAUCAUGGCCCUUACGAGUAGGGCUACACACGUGCUACAAUGGCAUAUACAAAGAGAAGCGACCUCGCGAGAGCAAGCGGACCUCAUAAAGUAUGUCGUAGUCCGGAUUGGAGUCUGCAACUCGACUCCAUGAAGUCGGAAUCGCUAGUAAUCGUGGAUCAGAAUGCCACGGUGAAUACGUUCCCGGGCCUUGUACACACCGCCCGUCACACCAUGGGAGUGGGUUGCAAAAGAAGUAGGUAGCUUAACCUUCGGGAGGGAGGUUACCACUUUGUGAUUCAUGACUGGGGU